GAGUUGGGAAGUUAAUUUCGGAAUCUGCUUUUAAAUAAGCAAGUGAAAAUAAUAUUCGCUGAUUCUGAGGAAGGUCCGCUCACCCACGUUAAUUUAUUAACAUGAAAAAGCCACCUGUGAAAACAGGUUACUGUGAAGUAAAGCUCUGUUACAGAAACGACACAGCUUAUUCAGAGUAAUGAAACCUGAGUUGAACUUAGAAGAAUAAGAUAUGAUGAGACGAACAUCUUGGCUGGUGCAAGGUUAAAAAACCGCUAAGUCAAAUGUUAACAUGUUCUGUUCGUGAAAACGAAGAACAACAGAAAGCGGCCUAAUCCCAACUC
rnacentral:RNase_P_RNA from 1 species